UGUGUGACAGAGGUUCCUAGCAGAACACUUGAAAAGGUAAGCUAAUCAAAAUGAAGACACUGUUAGUUCUCGUCUUCAAGACAGCCUUCUUAAAGAUAGUUCACAAUUACAAGACUCAACCAUUGUCGACAAUUUUAUUUUUCUAUUUUAUGCAGGGCCAGGCUUGGACUAUUAUGAAUGUUGCUGAACACUGUUAAUCAAGCUUACACAGCUAUUUUGAUGGCAAACAAUUAGAACUCUGCAGCUCUACCUUGCAAUUAGCUUCAGGGAUAUGGACCUCAGCACCAUAAUAAUGAAAGAGACCUCCUUCAAGCACGACUUCCAAGCAUUGCUGUUACCAAAUUUCAUCAGCCAACUAUCUGCUGUGGCCUGUCAAACAGAAUCCACGUGCAUGAUCUGGAUUUUGAUUCGGGGAGCGCUUGCAAAAGAAUUAGUAGCAAAACAGGAUCCUGAAAGUGGAAAACACUGA
ensembl:lncRNA